rnacentral:rRNA from 1 species
UACAGAGGUCCCGAGCGUUGUUCGGAUUCAUUGGGCGUAAAGGGUGCGUAGGCGGCGGGGCAAGUCUGAUGUGAAAUCCUGGGCUCAACCCUGGAACUGCAUUGGAUACUGCCUUGCUAGAGUACUGGAGAGGAAACUGGAAUUUACGGUGUAGCAGUGAAAUGCGUAGAGAUCGUAAGGAAGACCAGUGGCGAAGGCGGUUGGCCUGGAGCUUUGCUGACGCUGAGGCGCGAAAGCGUGGGGAGCGAUCCGGA